CCUACGGGGGGCUGCAGUGGGGAAUAUUGGACAAUGGGGGGAACCCUGAUCCAGCCAUGUCGCGUGUGUGAAGAAGGCCCUCGGGUUGUAAAGCACUUUCAGUGAGGAAGAACGCCUGGUGGUUAAUACCCAUCAGGAAAGACAUCACUCACAGAAGAAGCACCGGCUAACUCCGUGCCAGCAGCCGCGGUAAUACGGAGGGUGCGAGCGUUAAUCGGAAUUACUGGGCGUAAAGCGCGCGUAGGUGGCUUGAUAAGCCGGUUGUGAAAGCCCCGGGCUCAACCUGGGAACGGCAUCCGGAACUGUCAAGCUAGAGUGCAGGAGAGGAAGGUAGAAUUCCCGGUGUAGCGGUGAAAUGCGUAGAGAUCGGGAGGAAUACCAGUGGCGAAGGCGGCCUUCUGGACUGACACUGACACUGAGGUGCGAAAGCGUGGGUAGCAAACAGGAUUAGAUAUCCCGGUAGUC
rnacentral:rRNA from 1 species